rnacentral:lncRNA from 1 species
ACGCUCACUGCGAAGGUCUGUGGCUUCACUCCUGAAGUCAGCAAGACCACGAACCCACCGGAAGGAGGAAACAACUCCGGAAGCACCACGUUUAAGAGCUGUAACACUCACUGCGAAAGUCUGCAGCUUCACUCCUGAAGUCAGCAAGACCACAAACCCACCGGAAGGAAGAAAUUCCAGACACAUCUAAACAUUGGAAGGAACAAACUCCAGACACACUAUCUUUAAGAACUGUAACACUCACCGCGAGGGUCUGUGGCUUCAUGCUUGAAGUCAGCCGGACCAAGAACCCACCGGAAAGAACCAAUUCCUGACACAAUCGUUCUUCAUGGUCUAUGACUCCAAGGUCUGAAAUGAUCUCAUUUACCCCACAUGAUAGAUGUGGCCCUUCCAGAUGAGGAGUUCAACAAGACUACAUGGUAGAGCAGCCAGAGAACCCACUGGAAAUAAGGCUCAAAAUAAGGAGUAACCACAAAAUAAGAGACAGAGAAUGCUGAUUCACUAUGCAGUGAAACAUGCCUAACGUGUCAACAGCUAAAUGCCCGGUGACAGUGUGGUUGUCUGGGCAACAGAAGAAGUCACCCACGCAAACACUUAAAGGACCAUACUUAUUUUACAAGAGGAACAGUUUUCAAUGGAAUGGAUAUUAAAACACACACCUGGAUCCCUUUACCACAGGUGCUUUGAGAGGCACCAUCAAGGACAGUGAGCUAACGCAGGAGAAUGGAGUCCCAGAAACCUAGGAGGAGAAGACAAAGUGUCAGCCUCUCGGCAUCUGCAGUGUUGCUAGGAAAAGAGCUCUGAUCCCAGGGGCUUACCCACUUCCACAGGUAGGAAGCGUCCCUGAGAGGACUGGAACAUUAGCAUAUCUCAGAUCCAUCUGCAAAACUUUUGCAAACACGGAACUCCCUCGUUCUAAUCUUAUCAGCAACUUCCAGAGCUGAACCUUGAUUAAUCUGGAUACAAAAAGGAUUGAAACGCCACAUAAUAAGCAUUAACAGGAGGGUGUUUCCUUUAUCAAUGAAGCUUGAUUUAUCCAUGAUGAUCUAGUGCAUUCUCCUCCCAAAAAUCAGGAUCAUCCUCUGCAUAUGAAGGAACAGACAAGCCCUCAGCUCUACCACUUUGGAGAGGGGGGGAUUGGACAGCAUGAGCCUUCAAUUGUAUCUCUUGGAUGACCAAGGAAGGCUGGAUUUCUGCACCUAAAAAAUGGAAGCACAAACUGUACAACAAAUACUCUCCAUUCAAGUUGAAGUUCUCAAAUAAGGUAUCCAAUUAACCAAUGUAUUAAUAACAUUGAAAAUAAUAAUCUCAUAGGAAGAUUCCAAAAAUUUCUGGUUUUAUAUCUAGCAAAAACUUCAUGCACUAUGUUUGAUUUGUAUGUAGAACUCAGGGUGAACAUGCCAGUGACAGUGGCAAUGAGAGGGGUAACUGGGGGCCAGAAGCAGGCUGAGGGAGAGGAGAGGAGGGGGCAGAGUGUGCUCAGGGAACCAUGAGCCAUGCAGGAUAAGCAAUAGGGCAGAAUAAACAGGACAUACCCAUCUGUUUAUUCUCUCUGUAUAAUGUUUUGAUUCUCUUUGUACCCUAACUAACCAAGGCACAGCUCAGGAAGUUGCUGCCAGGAUUAGAAAAAGGGAGUUGCACAUUCUCAAAAAGCAAUGGUACAGUGCAAAGAAUGGUAAUUAAUCCCCCAGCACACUUGACCCAGCCCCUAAAGAACUUUGUGACCUUGGGCCAGGCAGGCAGCUCCCAGGCUUCUGUUUUGUCAUUUUUGACCUCUUCUGGCUGCAGUGAUUCAUUUCCAGAUAUAGGUUGCUUCAGCUCAUCUCAAAGUCUUCUUGUAGCCUGUUCUUUGAGAAAUGGUAAUAUAUCUCUUGAAAAGUUUCUUUUUCUUGCAAAGUCACCCAAUUCAUGAGUUAAUGAGGUCCCACCAGUGAUACGAUUGCAGAGUCACAAAUAUCACUAACUGAAAGGAGUAGAAGGAAGGCGGGAAUUGCAGACACACCAUGAGUGGGUGGCCUCCAGGAGAUACACGUGAGACCAGCCCUGUGGUGGGCCAGGUCAGAAGGACUUCUGCUUAGACUAGGUGGAAACUUCUCAGCAUUCUGAGGAGUACCACCAUCUGACUGGCAGUUUGAAGGUAUCACUUGGGCUGCUGUAUCAAGAAUAGACUUCAGAAGACAAGUUGAACGUAGCAAGACCAGUGAGAAAGGUGUCAUAGCCGUCCAAGUGCAGGGUGGCAGUGGAGAUAGGAGUUAUAUUAAGGAGAGAGUCACCAGGAUUUGCUGAUGGGUUAGGUGUGGGCUGUGGAAGAAAGAUCAAAGUCAAGAAUGACUCCAAUGACAUUGUCCUAAGCAAUUGGAAUGAUGAAAUCACAGUUGUUGAGAUGGGGAACCUGCACAUGGAGUGAGUCUGGAGGAGAGAUUAGUUGUUUGGCUUUGGCCAUGCUGAGUUUCAGAUGUGUUUCGACACACAUGUGGAGGGGUUACGCUUGAAUGUCUGAGUCUGACUUUUGUAUUGAGAUGUUCCUAUCCUACUUCUUCCUACCUCCACCCUGCAAAGGAUGGCCAUGGUUAUCUUCAGUGCCCCCACAAAGCUCUGUGCAGAUUCCUGGUAUGUCACAUUUAUUUCAAAUGGCUUUACUGAGAUGUAAUUGAUAUAUAGUUCACCCAUUUAAAUUGGACAAUUGAAUGGUUUUUAGUAUAUUCACAGAGUUUUGAUCAUGUGUAACAUGGUCUAUUUUUAGAAUAUUUUUGUCACCCCUUCCCCUCUAAAAAACCUCAUAGCCAUUAGGAAACAUUCUCCAUUUCCUAGCAUGGUAUUUUAAAAUAGUGACAAUUCCUAUUUUCAAGUCUGUCAGUAAGCCUCUUAAUGGUAGGGACUUCCGUGUUAUUUGUUUUUGCAUUUCACCCUGUAACAAUUACUCAAAAAAGCUGUUGUAUGAAUGAACUACAGUUUGAAAAAUACGACCCCAAGACUGUGUGUCUUUAAGAGAGAACCAACCCUUUGCAUUCCGGUGCUCUUCGUAUGGCUGCCUGUAGCAUUUUUCAGAUCUAGUUGAGAAACCGAUGGGAGGAUAUGGAGAUAAGUCUCAUUACUCUUUUCUUUCUUGGCUAUACUUCUCUAGCAUCUGUUGUAAACAAAACAGAAAAGAGUCUUUCUAAACCUGGUGAAAAUAUCUCAAAUGCAAGGAAGCCAGUGAUGAAAAAUGCAAUAUCAAAGUUCGGGCUGUUACAAACACAUGGCAUAAAUCACAUCUGCUCAUUAAACUUAUUACAAAGAAUGAUAACAAAAGCAAAGAGAUGUCUGAAAAUGUCUUGGGAAAAAUAAAGUAGCUAAUAAAUUCGUGGUUUUACUGUUUUAUGUCAUAAGGAUGGAUAUAAUUUCAUUUGGGACAAAUGUUUCUGGACUCAGACUACAGACUACAGAUUUGGAGCUGAAGGCCACUACCAAGGCAAUCUCCUCUAACAUCUUCAUUUCAGAGCUGAUGAGCUAGAUAGUCAUGCCCUGUGACCUCUCAGCUGGUUAUGGCAGAGCUCGCCCAAGAGCAAGGGGCGUAAUAUAUUAAUUAGUUUAAACUGAUAUGCGUUAUGUACUAACAGGGUCUGGGCAGACCAGUAGCAUCUAAAUAUUAUUCUAAGAGUCAGAAGCUUUUUUUCCAAUAAAGCCUUAUGCUGAAAACAAUAAUUAUGGCAGAAUCCUUCUGAUGGAGCCUGGGGGGUGGACUGCUUUUUCCCUCUGCUGCUGCAGCCCUGACGUGGUUUAGUGUGUCCUGGGACUAUCCCUUUGACAUCCCUCCUCUGUAUUCUUCUGAAAUACAGGACCCAUCCACUGCAUAUAGUCACAAGUUUACUUGCUUCUCUUCCCUCCUAAACUGUGGAAUCUCUCAACAUAAUGAUUGUGUCUUACACAAAACUGCAUAUCUCAGUUUCUGAACUCAGGAAAUAUUAACUUUGUUCUUUGACUUGCCAGGUUCUUUUCAAGGUGUUGGUGACACAGAUAUGAGGAAAACAGAGUUGACUCAUGGUGAUGGAGCUUACAUUCUAUGGGGCAAGAGUGAGCAGAGGUUUUGAAAGGUUCACUCCAGCUACUCUGUUGACAAUGGAUUAUAGAAGACUGAACAUGGAAUCCAGGAGACCAGUCAGAAAACUUCUUCAGGAAUCCAGCACAGUCUUGGCCUGUUCUGGAGAAUGCUCCCCAUCAAAAAUAAUUGACUGGAGACAAGCCAAGUCAGGAUUCUCCCUGGGAUCAAUUUCUG